CCUUCCCUCUGCUGCCUCCUCCACGCCCGCUCGCUCCCUCGCUCGCUCGCUCGCUCGCUCAACCAACGCCGCUUCCGCCGCCGCCGCCACUGCGCUGCUCGGCGUCGCCGCAGCUGGAUCGGCUUCCUCCGCCUCGCGUGGCGGCGGGCGCAACAAGCCUCCGCGGCGGGCCGCCACUGCCCUUCCACACCCCUGCGCCUGCCACACCAGUUUCUCCUUUUUUUUUUUUUUUUUUUUUUACCCUUCUGCUGCGCGGAACGAGACCGGAGCUGGCGCUCGGGCCUGCGCUGAGAGGAAGGCAGCCAGCGAUUUGUGAAGAAAUGGCCGUUGAAAAAAGCCACACGUUUUGGGUUUAAUUUUUGUCUUCCUCAAGGAUGGUGGGGAGGAGGACUGCAAAAUGCCGCCUCGCGUCAAGGCUUAAAAUGAACGCGCAGAGGCGGCAGUGCCCCUCGCCCGGCGGAUGAGGUGUGUCAGACCUGGGACACUUGCUGGAGUUACUGUUACCGCUCAUGUCCGGCGCUGCCGUGCCGCUGGAACUGGAACACCCCACGCUGACAGCCUUGCCGGGGCGAGGGAUUUCCAGCUGGACAUACCGAACUGGGGUGACUUUUAAAAACAACCUUUUUGGAUGAGCACAGGGGAAAAUGCUGAUGUUCUGGUGAAGGGUCCUUCAUUGGAGGCUGAUGAUCCCCACCGCCACCAGAUUUACUGGAAAUAUUUUAAUUGUGGGCUGUGAGUGUUUGGAGAAAGAGAAUGUCCUAGUCUGAAAGAUUUUCUGGUGUUCCUCUGUACAGGACAAAAAUCCCUUCAUUUCUAGAGGAAGCCUUGCUUGUCUGGCCGCUUCAGGAUUCAGCCAUACAGUUGGUCACAGCUGUAAAUACCCUGUGACAUACAAAAACACUCUCUCAGCUGUGGAUGGAUAUCAUUUGCACAAAGGGAUAGCAUCUUACACCAAUGCACCUGAAUCCUUCCAAGGCUUAGGAUUUCCCAAAUAAUGCUUUGUCUUUAAUACAGAUUUAAAAUGCCUCUCCCAAGCUUAAACAACUAGUAAAUUCGUGAUGUUGGAUAAAGCAAAGUCUGUUUUACAAGUGUAUGUAGUUUUGUUUGAAAGCAAAGAAACAAAGAUGGCACUGGAGAAUAUGGUAAUUCACUACUGGAAAUACUCAUAUCUGAUGGGUAGGUGCUCAUGUAAAUUUAAUGGAGACAGAGAAAACCAGGCUCUGAAAGAAAAAUGUAUUGCAUACAUUUGUUCCAAGUUAAUACAAAAGGUCCCAAUCCUAUAAUUGUUUAUGCAUUUACAACUUCAAGUUAUCCAUCUGAAAUAAAAGGAAAUAAUUGGUGUAGCAAAUGAAGUGUAUUCGUAAGUCUUUGUGCUUAAUCUAAUACGGUGUAACUCUGUAAUUCAAGGGGGAAAUAUUUAUCUUCUCUUGCUAAUAAACUAAACUUUAAUGUA